ACCCCAAGGGGGGCGGUCCCGAGUGGGUGGGCGCAGGGGGCAGCCGCGCCCCCCGGCCAGGCCUUGCUUCUGCCCCUACAAGGUUUGGGCCGAGGUGGGGGAGGGUCCUGAUCGCCGGCUCCGCCCGGUCCCUCCCCGCCUUUUAGGCGCCCGCGCGGCCGGGACGUCCCAGUCCUGCUCGGUCCUCCUUGCCUGCCACCCGUGCACCCAGUCGGCUCAGCCAGCCCAGUCCGUCCAGUCCUCACUGCCUGCCGGCCGGCCCACCCCCCACCACAGCCAUGGACGCCAUCAAGAAGAAGAUGCAGAUGCUGAAGCUGGACAAGGAGAACGCCAUCGACCGCGCCGAGCAGGCCGAAGCCGACAAGAAGCAAGCUGAGGAUCGCUGCAAGCAGCUGGAGGAGGAGCAGCAGGCCCUCCAGAAGAAGCUGAAGGGGACAGAGGAUGAAGUGGAAAAGUAUUCUGAAUCUGUGAAGGAGGCCCAGGAGAAACUGGAGCAGGCCGAGAAGAAGGCCACCGAUGCUGAGGCAGAUGUGGCCUCCCUGAACCGCCGCAUUCAGCUGGUAGAGGAGGAGCUGGACCGGGCCCAGGAGCGCCUGGCUACAGCCCUGCAGAAGCUGGAGGAGGCUGAGAAGGCAGCUGAUGAGAGCGAGAGAGGAAUGAAGGUCAUCGAAAACCGGGCCAUGAAGGACGAGGAGAAGAUGGAGCUGCAGGAGAUGCAGCUGAAAGAGGCCAAGCACAUCGCUGAGGAUUCAGACCGCAAAUAUGAGGAGGUGGCCAGGAAGCUGGUUAUCCUGGAAGGAGAGCUGGAGCGCUCAGAAGAGAGAGCUGAGGUGGCCGAGAGCCGAGCCAGACAGCUGGAGGAGGAACUUCGAACCAUGGACCAGGCCCUCAAGUCCCUGAUGGCCUCAGAGGAGGAGGUAGCAACCCCUCUGAACCUUUCCGGGCAAUGGCGCCUUCUCUCAGCUCACCUUCUCUCCAUCUCUGCACCACAGGCUGCUCUCUCUCAGCUGCUGGGGAUUGGGAAGGGCCUGGGGCUUCUGAGCCCUGCCUGCUGUCACUCUCACAACUUGGCUCUUCUCUUCUCUCCUCUACCCAUCCCCCACUGUGCCAUCUCCACUGUCUGGCUUCACUGUGCCCUCACACCCCGCUCCCCCUGCCACACACCCCCUGCAGUAAAUGUGGGGACCUAGAGGAGGAGCUGAAAAUUGUUACCAACAACUUGAAAUCCCUGGAGGCCCAGGCGGACAAGUAUUCCACCAAAGAAGAUAAAUAUGAAGAGGAGAUCAAACUGCUGGAGGAGAAGCUGAAAGAGGCUGAGACUCGAGCAGAGUUUGCCGAAAGGUCUGUGGCAAAGUUGGAGAAAACCAUCGAUGACCUGGAAGACGAAGUCUAUGCCCAGAAGAUGAAGUACAAGGCCAUUAGCGAGGAGCUGGACAACGCACUCAAUGACAUCACCUCCCUCUGAGCCCCACGCCAGUGUGGCCACCUCAGCCCUCUUCUCUCCUUUCCAUUCUCUCUAUGGGGAAGGGAACAGGCAGGAGGAGCAGAAAUUGCCAACAUUGCCCAGCCAGGCUGGGAGCAGCCUAGGGAGAACCUCCAUCGUGCCCACCACCCAGUCUGGCACUGGCUUCAUCCUUUACCUAUCCUCCUUCACCCCCCUUCACUGCUUAAUAAACUCUGAACUUGGUCUCCAUGCUGUUUUCCUGCCCUCCAGAGAGCACCUCUAUCACUACCACGGAGCACGGGUUCACUCCUGAGACCCUGGCUCUUGCAGACACCCCCACCCACUGCACUGAGCCACCCACCAAACAACAUGGCCCACUCUGAAACCCCUCUGCACAGGCACUCCCAGGCUGUCACUCUGACUCACUGCUGCAUGCGGGCACAUGUGACCCUGUCAAACACUGUGAUCCCCUCUGGUGCCAAUCACUGACCUCAGAGCACUUAGCUGGGGUUCCAGGAUCAAACAGAGUGUCUGGAAAGGAAAUGGGGUGGUGAGGUGCAGGGCAGGGGCAAGAAGGUGGCAAAAGGGCUGGAAUGGAGCUUGGAAACACGUUGGAUGUCAGCAACAUGGGGAUUUCACUGCAUCCGCAGAGACCUUGGCCAGUGCCAAGGAGGAGAACGUCGAGAUUCACCAGACCUUGGACCAGACCCUGCUGGAACUCAACAACCUGUGAGGGCGGGCCCCGCCCCCAACCAGGCUAUGGUUGCUGCCCCAACCCAAUAAAACUGAUGUUUCCAGCUU